CCCCCAAAACAUGGAAAAACUCGCUCUGAAAUCCAACGCGUCUGUUCCCUCCCUCUACCUCACCUCAUCAGCAACUCCCACUCCGCCUCCCUUCACCGCCCUCGACGUUGACUCCUCCUCCGUCGCAUCCAAAAAGGAACGCUCCCGGAGCGCCCGCCAGCUCUCCUCGGUAUGCCUUCUCAAAUGCUAAAAACUCUAUGCCUCGCUUGGUUGGCUUUACGGUGGCAUCUUCCACCUCGC
rnacentral:lncRNA from 1 species